rnacentral:rRNA from 1 species
CCUACGGGUGGCUGCAGUGGGGAAUAUUGGACAAUGGGCGAAAGCCUGAUCCGGCCAUGCCGCGUGUGUGAAGAAGGCCUUCGGGUUGUAAAGCACUUUCAGUGGGGAAGAAAGCCUUGGGGCUAAUACCCUCGAGGAAGGACAUCACCCACAGAAGAAGCACCGGCUAACUCCGUGCCAGCAGCCGCGGUAAUACGGAGGGUGCGAGCGUUAAUCGGAAUUACUGGGCGUAAAGCGCGCGUAGGCGGUCUGAUAAGCCGGUUGUGAAAGCCCCGGGCUCAACCUGGGAACGGCAUCCGGAACUGUCAGGCUAGAGUGCAGGAGAGGAAGGUAGAAUUCCCGGUGUAGCGGUGAAAUGCGUAGAGAUCGGGAGGAAUACCAGUGGCGAAGGCGGCCUUCUGGACUGACACUGACGCUGAGGUGCGAAAGCGUGGGUAGCAAACAGGAUUAGAUACCCUAGUAGUC